rnacentral:miRNA from 1 species
UGUCAUGGAGUCGCUCUCGCAU